rnacentral:lncRNA from 1 species
CUACUUCCUGUCUCUAUGGUUCCUCCUUCCUUUCUCAUUGGUUUCUCCAUCCUGUCUCUAUGGUUUCUACCUUUCACUGUGGGCUGGUUAUCCCUACAUAUGUCUAUGGUCCCAGUAAUGACACAUCCCUCCAAUGAUGAAGCAAGAAGGGAGGACUUGAGGUCUCUAAGUCCAUCUCCUCUCCUGAAAUAUCCACCAAUGUUGACUGGCAGGGAAGGUCAAGUGGACAGUACAAUCAGAAUAAAGAAUACAAUUCCCUUCAAAAGCAAGAGAGUCAUCAAGGUUUGGUGCCAAGAGUAUAGUCAAGAAGACUGGCGAUGGCCCAGGAUGCAGUGGAGGAAAAAGAAAACAAUAGGGAAUACCCUCCACAGUAAAUCACAGAGGGCUUUCCUCCAUGAAUUUACAACAGGCU